rnacentral:snoRNA from 1 species
AUCCUUUUCCGGUUAAUAAGCACAAUGGCUGGUUAUUCACACAUUUGUGGGACCAUGUGCCUCCCUUAUGCACGUGGCAUAUUACUCAUCUCACA